GUAGGUGAACCUGCGGAAGGAUCAUCAAUAGUCCAACAUGAUCAGUGCAACUAAAAAUCGCACUGGUCUAACCUUCUUGUGCACUGUUUAUUGUUAAUUGUUUGGGAAGACAACUGAGAUGUCAGUUUUUUAAAUUGACAGAUCGACUCCCAAUCAAUUUAUCUCUAACUAACCAAUUUAUAUUUGAAGUUGUUUAUUUUACAGGAAACUGUACUAAUAUCAAUACAACUUACAGCGAUGGAUCUCUAGG
rnacentral:misc_RNA from 1 species